CCCCAUUCGAGCGGUUUUCUAGAUUCUUACAUCAGCAGCCUCCCCCUCCUAAUCCUCACCGAGGUUCGAACAUUUACCAACGGGUUAUACGCGCAGACAGUCGGCCAUUGUCCAAUGUGUAGACCUAUAAUCAGCCUGAUGAGCAGAUGUGAAGUGAACCUCCUGUUGUGGUGUUCCCUCGGACAAGAUAAUCCCUCUCUGUACAGAGUUACUGCCGGCUCGUUGACACACUCGUGGACAAGAUAACAUUACUGUUGUCAUCAACUGCUGGACAUUAAAAACAAUCACUG